rnacentral:piRNA from 5 species
UUCAAGAGUCCAAAAACUAGAAGUGACCAGC